UACAGAGACUGCAAGCGUUAUUCGGAUUCACUGGGCGUAAAGGGUGCGCAGGCGGCCGAGUGUGUGAGAUGUGAAAGCCCGUCGCUCAACGACGGAAUUGCAUCUCAAACUACUUGGCUAGAGUACUGGAGAGGGUAGCGGAAUUCACGGUGUAGCAGUGAAAUGCGUAGAUAUCGUGAGGAACACCAAUGGCGAAGGCAGCUACCUGGACAGUUACUGACGCUCAAGCACGAAAGCGUGGGGAGCAAAAGGG
rnacentral:rRNA from 1 species